CCUUCGAUAGCUCAGUUGGUAGAGCGGAGGACUGUAGAUGUUUGGUCGUGGUCAUCCUUAGGUCGCUGGUUCGAAUCCGGCUCGAAGGA
rnacentral:tRNA from 2 species